AGAUGACAAUAUUUGCUUACUGCUCCCCUGGGAUAGAAGGUGUUCUAAAGAAGAAACAACAGAAAGAUCCGGGAAUGCAGAUUGAGAUACUAAUAUCCAAAUGGAAAUUCAGGUCUUUCUGAAAACAUCUCAAGAUAUCAUCUAGAUUGUCUUUUCCCACAAGCCUCUAUGCUGUUGAAGAUCUCCAUGAAUUUAUUUUGAUGGAUAUUGGUAAGU